CCUACGGGAGGCAGCAGUGAGGAAUAUUGGUCAAUGGACGAGAGUCUGAACCAGCCAAGUAGCGUGAAGGAUGACUGCCCUAUGGGUUGUAAACUUCUUUUAUAUGGGAAUAAAACGUUCCACGUGUGGGAUUUUGUAUGUACCAUAUGAAUAAGGAUCGGCUAACUCCGUGCCAGCAGCCGCGGUAAUACGGAGGAUCCGAGAGUUAUCCGGAUUUAUUGGGUUUAUAGGGAGCGUAGGUGGAUUGUUAAGUCAGUUGUGAAAGUUUGCGGCUCAACCGUAAAAUUGCAGUUGAAACUGGCAGUCUUGAGUACAGUAGAGGUGGGCGGAAUUCGUGGUGUAGCGGUGAAAUGCUUAGAUAUCACGAAGAACUCCGAUUGCGAAGGCAGUUCACUGGACUGCAACUGACACUGAGGCUCGAAAGUGUGGGUAUCAAACAGGAUUAGAUACCCCAGUAGUC
rnacentral:rRNA from 1 species